AUUGAACGCUGGCGGCAUGCUUUACACAUGCAAGUCGAACGGCAGCGCGGGCUUCGGCCUGGCGGCGAGUGGCGAACGGGUGAGUAAUGCAUCGGAACGUGCCCAGUAGUGGGGGAUAGCCCGGCGAAAGCCGGAUUAAUACCGCAUACGACCUGAGGGUGAAAGCGGGGGACCGAAAGGCCUCGCGCUAUUGGAGCGGCCGAUGUCGGAUUAGCUAGUUGGUGGGGUAAAGGCUUACCAAGGCGACGAUCCGUAACUGGUCUGAGAGGACGACCAGCCACACUGGGACUGAGACACGGCCCAGACUCCUACGGGAGGCAGCAGUGGGGAAUUUUGGACAAUGGGGGCAACCCUGAUCCAGCCAUGCCGCGUGCGGGAAGAAGGCCUUCGGGUUGUAAACCGCUUUUGUUCGGGAAGAAAUCCUCUGGGCUAAUACCCCGGGGGGAUGACGGUACCGGAAGAAUAAGCACCGGCUAACUACGUG
rnacentral:rRNA from 1 species